CAACUUGAGAGUUUGAUCCUGGCUCAGAACGAACGCUGGCGGCAGGCUUAACACAUGCAAGUCGAACGAGAAGCUACCUUCGGGUAGUGGAAAGUGGCAGACGGGUGAGUAACGCGUGGGAAUAUACCUAGAGGUACGGAACAACUCCGGGAAACUGGUGCUAAUACCGUAUACGCCCUUCGGGGGAAAGAUUUAUCGCCUUUAGAUUAGCCCGCGUUAGAUUAGCUUGUUGGUGAGGUAAUGGCUCACCAAGGCGACGAUCUAUAGCUGGUCUGAGAGGAUGAUCAGCCACACUGGGACUGAGACACGGCCCAGACUCCUACGGGAGGCAGCAGUGGGGAAUCUUGGACAAUGGGGGCAACCCUGAUCCAGCCAUGCCGCGUGAGUGAAGAAGGCCCUAGGGUUGUA
rnacentral:rRNA from 1 species